GACGAACGCUGGCGGCGUGCUUAACACAUGCAAGUCGAACGAAGUGGCGAACGGGUGAGUAACGCGUAAUCAACCUGCCCUUCAGAGGGGGACAACAGUUGGAAACGACUGCUAAUACCGCAUACUGAAGGAGGGGAUUGCGUCUGAUUAGCUAGUUGGAGGGGUAACGGCCCACCAUGGCGAUGAUCAGUAGCCUGUCUGCGCGUGUGAACGGCCACACUUGGACUGCGACACGGCCCAGACUCCUACGGGGGGCAGCCGUGGGGAAUCGUCCGCUAUUGACGAAAGUCUGACUGAGCCACGCCGCGUGAGUGAUGGCGGCCUUCGGGUUGUAAAGCUCUGUUAAUCGGGACGCGGUACCGGAAUAGAAAGCCACGGCUAACUACGUGCCAGCAGCCGCGGUAAUUC
rnacentral:rRNA from 1 species